UACGUAGGGGGCAAGCGUUGUCCGGAAUCAUUGGGCGUAAAGCGCGUGUAGGCGGCUCGAUAAGUCUGCUGUGAAAGUCCAGGGCUCAACCCUGGGAUGCCGGUGGAUACUGUCGAGCUCGAGUCCGGAAGAGGCGAGUGGAAUUCCUGGUGUAGCGGUGAAACGCGCAGAUAUCAGGAGGAACACCAAUGGCGAAGGCAGCUCGCUGGGACGUGACUGACGCUGAGGUGCGAAAGCGUGGGGAGCAAACAGG
rnacentral:rRNA from 1 species